rnacentral:rRNA from 1 species
AUUGAACGCUGGCGGCAUGCCUUACACAUGCAAGUCGAACGGUAACAGGUCUUCGGACGCUGACGAGUGGCGAACGGGUGAGUAAUACAUCGGAACGUGCCCGAUCGUGGGGGAUAACGAGGCGAAAGCUUUGCUAAUACCGCAUACGAUCUACGGAUGAAAGCGGGGGAUCUUCGGACCUCGCGCGGACGGAGCGGCCGAUGGCAGAUUAGGUAGUUGGUGGGAUAAAAGCUUACCAAGCCGACGAUCUGUAGCUGGUCUGAGAGGAUGAUCAGCCACACUGGGACUGAGACACGGCCCAGACUCCUACGGGAGGCAGCAGUGGGGAAUUUUGGACAAUGGGCGAAAGCCUGAUCCAGCCAUGCCGCGUGCAGGAUGAAGGCCUUCGGGUUGUAAACUGCUUUUGUACGGAACGAAAAGCCUCUUUCUAAUAAAGAGGGGUCAUGACGGUACCGUAAGAAUAAACACCGGCUAACUACGU